AUUGAACGCUGGCGGCAGGCCUAACACAUGCAAGUCGAACGGUAACAGGAAGCAGCUUGCUGCUUCGCUGACGAGUGGCGGACGGGUGAGUAAUGUCUGGGAAGCUGCCUGAUGGAGGGGGAUAACUACUGGAAACGGUAGCUAAUACCGCAUAAUGUCGCAAGACCAAAGAGGGGGACCUUCGGGCCUCUUGCCAUCGGAUGUGCCCAGAUGGGAUUAGCUUGUUGGUGGGGUAACGGCUCACCAAGGCGACGAUCCCUAGCUGGUCUGAGAGGAUGACCAGCCACACUGGAACUGAGACACGGUCCAGACUCCUACGGGAGGCAGCAGUGGGGAAUAUUGCACAAUGGGCGCAAGCCUGAUGCAGCCAUGCCGCGUGUAUGAAGAAGGCCUUCGGGUUGUAAAGUACUUUCAGCGGGGAGGGAGGGAGUAAAGUUAAUACCUUUGCUCAUUGACGUUACCCGCAGAAGAAGCACCGGCUAACUCCGUG
rnacentral:rRNA from 1 species